rnacentral:rRNA from 1 species
AAUUAGGCUGAUGAGGAGGACAUUAAAGAGUUGUUUUUAUAACUCCCAAACCCAUGUGAACAUACUUUACGUUGCCUCGGCAGGUCGCGCUUCCCCUCGUAACGUCUUACCUUGUAAGACCUACCCGGGAGACGCGGGUAAGCCUGCCGGCGGCCCACGAAACUCUGUUUGAUAUUGAAUUCUGAACCUGUAACUAAAUAAGUUAAAACUUUCAACAACGGAUCUCUUGGUUCUGGCAUCGAUGAAGAACGCAGCGAAAUGCGAUAAGUAAUGUGAAUUGCAGAAUUCAGUGAAUCAUCGAAUCUUUGAACGCACAUUGCGCCCAUUAGUAUUCUAGUGGGCAGGACCGUUCGAGCGUCAUUUCAACCCUUAGGCCCUUGCUGCCUAGCGUUGGGAGCCUACAGCGAUGUAGUUCCUUAAAGUUAGUGGCGGAGUUGGUUUACACUCUAGACGUAGUAAUUUGUUUUGUCUCGCCUAUUAGUUGGACCGGCUCGUUGCCGUAAAACCCCCCCAAAAUUUUUUUUCCAAGGUUGACCUCGAAUCGGUUCUGAUUAUCCACUGAACUUAAGCAUAUCAUA